CUUUUUGUCCAUAACAUUUUGUACAAUAUGACAUCAUUAUUUCUAACAACUGUAAGUUUGUCAUUUAUAGCUACGAGUUUGUACGUGCUGACAACGCGGCGUGGGGGCGAUCGUACCCGAACGGCUCCUGGGACGGCAUGCUGGGUCAGGUGCAGCGGCGGGAGGUAGAGUUCGCCGUGGGUCCCUUCGGCGUAACUCACCAGAGGGAGUCGGUAUGUGACUUUACGGACCCCAUGUACAGCGAGAACAACGCGAUCCUGAUGGUGAGGCCCACGCUGCAGAACGACAUGGCGGGAUUCGUGAAGCCCUUCAGUGGAAAGGUAAGAGAGGUAUUGGAAGGCGUAUGUAAGGAAUGCAAUGCCUUUUAAAGCUACUCAUGGUACUGGAAGGCAUUAGCAAGGAAAGCACUGUCAUUAUAAAGAUGUAUAUGACCCUGGAAGGUAUUUAUAAAGGAAGUACUGUCAGUAUAAAGUUACAUUUGGGCGUGGAAGGAAUUCAUAAUGAAAGCACAUUCACUCAUUACCACCAAGAGCAACUCGACUAAAGCAUGUGUCGGUGAGCACCUUGGCGUGAGUCCUCUGCACCUUGGCGUGAGUCCUCUGCCGGGCGAAAUGAGCUAGACUCGUAUCAAGUUGACGUGUUCAUUACGUGUUUCAGACACAUAUUCCAAAGCGGAGGAUAAGACUGCAGCGGAAAUGUAUCGGCUCCUUCCGACGCCCCAGUUUUCUUCAGGCAAUGGCGUCACUGCGCAGUCCAGAACAAGUCGGUAAAAAUCGGCAAGGAAGAAGACUUGUCUUUGUAAGAAAAAAAAAAAAAUGCUAACCAAUCUUCAAGAGAGUCUCCUUUAAUGAUGUGGACGUGUGCGAUGUUGCUGUUUAUCAUGUGGACCGGUCACUUGAGGAUGUACGAGGGACAUGAACAAAAAAAGUUGAAAUUAUUCUGCUUUUUAGUAAUUUUUUUUUUUUUUUUAUCAGGUGGGACGACUUGCCAUUACCAGAAACACGUCCCGCCGCAGGAAGAGAGGCCGCAAGCAAUGAGUAGCUCCGUGCUGGUCACGGAGCUGAAGGAGAAAGACGAUCGUGAUUUAUUGGGCUGUCGGCUUCCUUUCCUCACACGGGAAGAGAUAAACAGCCUGUACGCCAGGUUCUGCUUUGACUGUAGCAGUUGUGGCUCCGUCAGGUGGAUAAUGCAUGAGGGAGCAGACGUAGUCGUGAUGGAAUUCUGUAACUGUGACGUUUUGGUGCUGUUGCUGCCAGAAGCUUGCUUUAUGCAGGAGGUGGGAGUGGCAGGGGUGCCCUAACCUAUGACUUAUAGUUUCAACUCACACACAAUAGAGGAAUUUGCUGGAGAAAAAAAAAAAAAAAAAAAAGCGAGAACUUCACCCACCAGUGUCCGGUGGACGGCUUGCUGGCCUCGGUAGCCUAUACUUUUUGCCGCUCAGGUGAAGAGCAUGAUGACACAGCAGUCACAUUCACCCGCAGUGUUUACGAGCCAACCUUUCAUUUCAUCGCGCUGGAUUGGUCUUGCCUUGACGGGCGUGCUGCUCGCGAUUUUACUUUUGAGAUUGACGAGGGAACCUGCGGUGCUGGUACUAGCGAUGAGAGCCAAGGCAUUACUGACUGUCUGUGGAUGGCACAGGAGUGAGGACGCGACAACCGAUGAGUCACUCAAGAGACAUGCACAAAUUUGCUUUCCCUCAGGGAUAUUUAAUGAAGACUGCAGCAGAACUCAGUGGUGCUGUUCGUAUUAAAGCAAGUUGUGGCGUGCGAUGACUGAGGUUCCAUCACGGACCUAUGUAAGUAUUGUUGCAUUGUUGCUGUGUUUCGUGGAACAGAGCAGUAGAACAACAGCGAGUAACAAUUACUGAAAAAUAGAGAUACGACGAUUCUUACGUACAAUGCUGUCCAUAAGAAAA